UACGUAGGGUGCAAGCGUUAAUCGGAAUUACUGGGCGUAAAGCGUGCGUAGGCGGUUUCAUAAGCUUGAUGUGAAAGCCCCGGGCUCAACCUGGGAAUGGCAUUGAGGACUGUGGAGCUAGAGUGCGGCAGAGGGAGGUGGAAUUCCACGUGUAGCAGUGAAAUGCGUAGAGAUGUGGAGGAACACCGAUGGCGAAGGCAGCCUCCUGGGCCGACACUGACGCUGAGGGCACGAAAGCGUGGGGAGCAAACAGG
rnacentral:rRNA from 1 species